rnacentral:rRNA from 1 species
AUGAGAAAUCAUCAGUGCACUGAAGGGGACAGGCUAGAGCAAGAAGCUAGCCUACUGGACUGGGGUCUGGAGCGCAGGAGCAGCAAGAGUAGGGCCAACAGAGAGAGCAGAAGAAGAAAGGAAGCGAGUACAGUCAGGAGAAGGAGGCGCUACAGAAGCAAACUGAGUCCGGGUCUGAGUACAAGAACUCAGAGCAAAGCUUGUAUGAGAAUCCUACUGGACCAAGUGAGGAUAGCAAUGGUCAUGGCUACAACUACACAGGGAUGGUUCGAAUUAGAAUUCCACCAUCAAGGGUUCGUGGCCAGCAUGUCCUACUACUUUGGCAAAUGA